rnacentral:rRNA from 1 species
AUUGAACGCUAGCGGGAUGCUUUACACAUGCAAGUCGAACGAGUGGCGGACGGGUGAGUAAUAUAUCGGAAGUGCCCAGUAGCGGGGGAUAACUACUGGAAACGGUAGCUAAUACCGCAUACUAUCGGAUAACCCAUAUGGGAUUAGCUAGUAGGUGAGGUAAUGGCUCACCUAGGCGACGGUCCCUAGCUGGGCUGAGAGGAUGAUCAGCCACAUUGGGACUGAGACCCGGCCCAGCCUCCUACGGAGGCAGCAGUGGGGAAUAUUGCACAAUGGGCGAAGGCCUGAUGCAGCCAUGCCGUGUGUAUGAAGAAGGCCUUAGGGUUGUAAAGCACUUUCAGUCGGGAGGCGUUACCGCCAGAAGAAGCACAGGCUAACUCCGUGCCAGCAGCCGCGGUAAUAC